rnacentral:rRNA from 1 species
UACGUAGGGCGCAAGCGUUAUCCGGAAUUAUUGGGCGUAAAGAGCUCGUAGGCGGUUUGUCGCGUCUGCCGUGAAAGUCCGGGGGCUCAACUCCGGAUCUGCGGUGGGUACGGGGCAGACUAGAGUGAUGUAGGGGGAGACUGGAAUUCCUGGUGUAGCGGUGAAAUGCGCAGAUAUCAGGAGGAACACCGAUGGCGAAGGCAGGUCUCUGGGCAUUAACUGACGCUGAGGAGCGAAAAGCAUGGGGAGCGAACAGG